AGAACGAACGCUGGCGGCAGGCUUAACACAUGCAAGUCGAACGGUUGUAGCAAUACAGCAGUGGCAGACGGGUGAGUAACACGUGGGAACCUUCCUAGGGGUACGGAACAACUCAGGGAAACUUGAGCUAAUACCGUAUACGUCCGUGAGGAGAAAGAUUUAUCGCCCCUAGACGGGCCCGCGUAGGAUUAGGUAGUUGGUGGAAGUACGGCUCAACACGCC
rnacentral:rRNA from 1 species